rnacentral:misc_RNA from 1 species
GUGAAUCAUCGAAUUUUUGAACGCAAAUUGCGCCUUUUUCGGAAGGCACGUCUGUUUGAGGGCACCAUUUAACAAAUAAUGUGCAGCGUUUUUUGUUGCACACGUUUAUGAGCUUUCCAAGAAUUUUAAAUUUUUGGUGGCGCAAAUGAACAGCGUGAAAGUUUUUUUCAGUUUGAUUGUAAUAAAAUCUUUGCUUUGGUUGUGAAAAAACAUAAUCGCGCAAUUUGGUUGGCAAUUUCUUUUUAACCCUUCCCCAAAUCCCC